rnacentral:tRNA from 1 species
GUCUCCAUAGUAUAGGUGGUCAGUACGUCACGUUGUGGUUAACACAGCAGAACUGUGAAGACAGCUGUUCGAGUCAGCUUGGGGACA